UACGAGAGGCCCAAACGUUAUUCGGAAUUACUGGGCUUAAAGAGUUCGUAGGCGGCGCAGAAAGUAGGGUGUGAAAGCCCUCGGCUUAACCGAGGAAUUGCGCUCUAAACUACUGUGCUUGAGGAACCUAGAGGUGAGCAGAACAGAUGGUGGAGCGGUGAAAUGCGUUGAUAUCAUCUGGAAUACCGGAGGCGAAGGCGGCUCACUGGGGGUUUUCUGACGCUGAGGAACGAAAGCCAGGGUAGCGAACGGG
rnacentral:rRNA from 1 species